UAUAUAUAUAUAUAUAUAUACACCGCAAAAUGCGAAAUUCAUUAAGCAAUAGCGGAAACAUCAACUCGGAGUAGAGAAGAAGAAAAUCAGGUGCUUCCUCAUUAUUUUCUAAAAAAAUUAUUACCUUUCCAAUUUUUUAGUGUUGCUUGCGGUAAAAAUAUACAAAAUUAUAAUUGAUAACACAUUUUAUUAUGAAAUUAAUGAAAAAAUAGAAUAAAAAUUUCACUCUAAAAAUUUUGACUCUGCGAAAAUAACAUAUAUUUUAAAACAGCCAAAAACAUAAGAGAUAUAUCUGAAAGUUAUAAUUCUCUUAUUAAUUUACUAUAUCACGUAAACCAUUUUAUAUGAAAUUACUAAUGUAAUAUAAAAUUAUCCAUUUAUGGGACAGAGAGAAUACUUAACAGGGGAUUAAGGCUCUGUGCGAGUUUUUCAAAUUACAAAUCUGGGACAUUUUGCCCCCACAGAGAAUGGAUUCCCUUGUUGAAAGUAGUAGAGAAUGCGAUUCUGUGGAAUCUCCUCGUCAAUCGGCAUCGCUCUGCUGGCGUCCAUCGGCAUUAUCGUCUGUUUUCG
rnacentral:misc_RNA from 1 species